GCAUCAGUAGUGCAACGGGUUAGAGUACACGUUCCCGGAUAGAGUGAGAUGCGGGGUUCGAAUCCCGCCUGACGCA